UUUAGGGCCAUCUCUUAAAAGCAAUCUUUAUAAAUAUUGGCAACAAUAGUUGACAAAAAAGAACAUAAGCUGCUCUCUUUAUCUCUUAAAAAACUGUCCCAAAAGUUUAAAGCAUGCUAGAGCAAAUCUGAAACAGAUCUGUUAAUUUUAGAAUAUCUUCUACUUUGAUAGGUUUUCAGUCUAUCAAUCCUUUAUCAUUGUUUAAUAAUCGUCAUAACUUCAUCACCAGAUGAAUUUUUAUGAAAGCUGUCUGAGCAACUUAUGGGUGGGGGCAUAAAUGCUAGCCAUAUCUUUAGGCAACAAAUAUGUAGGUGAGAAAAAAAACAGAACAAGUAAGACAAAGGAAAUUAAGGGUGGAAUUAUGUCUUGUACCAUACUAAGUUUUAGAGAUAUGAUGUAAUCCUUGUAUCAUGUUAUAACUUUAUGUAUGGCCAUAUUCAAUUCUUUAAACAGAUAUCUAAGUGUUUGAAAAUACACUUUAUGAUUAACUGAAUAUCUGUUAUGUUUUCUUUUGGUGUCUUUCACACUAAUCCUAAUCCUUUCUUUUAUUAUUAUUUUGUAUAUUCAUAACUUAAUUUUCUUUUGCUGUUGUUUGUUUUUAAUAAUAAUUUUCAACUCAAUACUUUUAGCAUUUAUAUAGCAUAAUGCUUUGCCAAUAAAGUUAAUGUAAUGUGAUUAGUUUUGUCUGUCUAUACAACUAAAGUAUUUUUACCGCUGUUAAUUUUUAGUACCGUAUAGCAGGAUAUUUUCGCGGAGUCUUAUUUUCGUGUUUUUUGUGUCCCAGAUACUUUCACGAAAAUUUAAGGCACGAAAAUUUAGCACAUAUUUGGUAUAGGCGUGUCCUGUUGCAGUAUAUUGCUCCACGUGCAAUAAAAUGGAGAAAAAAGCUUCCAUUGAUGAAAGUACACUUGGCUUACCCUCAAAAA